UGUGAAUUAUAGAAGAUUUAGGUUGUGAUGUUUUUAAUGAGCAUAUGAAAGAACAUCAAACAAAGGUCGUGAUAAAAUCCAUUUCAUCAGUUUAAAAUAACAAGCCGUUUCGAUCGUGGCGUGGGACUCGUAGAUAUGAAAUCGCGUCGUCACCGUGAAAGACUCCGUGAAAACCUUUGUAGAACACCGCAUUGUUCGCGUUUAGGGUUUUGGCUUAAGAAUAUAUGUAGGCGAGUGUGUGGUUUAUCGUUUUAUAAGGGGAAAUAAUCCAUCUCAAAAUAAAAAGCUGAUAAUGUGUAUAGUACAGAUUAAAAAUGGUUUUGAUUUGUUGUACAUAGGUGUAAGU